rnacentral:rRNA from 1 species
GAACCGUGCGAACGUUGUUCGGAUUCACUGGGCUUAAAGGGCGCGUAGGCGGGUCCCCAAGUCCAGGGUGAAAGCCCCCGGCCCAACCGGGGAACUGCCCUGGAUACUGGGGACCUCGAGCGGGGUAGGGGCCCGCGGAACUUCCGGUGGAGCGGUGAAAUGCGUAGAGAUCGGAAGGAACGCCGGUGGCGAAAGCGGCGGGCUGGACCCCUCCUGACGCUGAGGCGCGAAAGCCAGGGGAGCGAACGGGAUUAGAUACCCCGGUAGUCCUGGCCCUAAACGAUGGGCACUGGGCCGUGGGCUUGCAUGGGCUCACAGCCGGAGCAAAAGUGUUAAGUGCCCCGCCUGGGGAGUAUGGUCGCAAGGCUGAA